ACUUUACAAUGCGGGAAACCGUGAUAAGGGAACUCCGAGUGUCCGUAAAUUCGGACUGUCCGUAUGUUUAAAAAGCAUACGAAGAAAGGGCCGGGCAAGACCGGUGCCAGCCGCCGCGGUAAUACCGGCGGCUCGAGUGGUGGCCACUAUUACUGGGCUUAAAGCGUUCGUAGCUGGGUUGUUAAGUCUCUUGGGAAAUCUACCGGCUUAACCGAUAGGCGUCCAAGGGAUACUGGCAAUCUAGGGACCGGGAGAGGUGAGGGGUACUUCAGGGGUAGGAGUGAAAUCCUGUAAUCCUUGGGGGACCACCUGUGGCGUAGGCGCCUCACCAGAACGGCUCCGACAGUGAGGGACGAAAGCUGGGGGAGCAAACCGG
rnacentral:rRNA from 1 species